UUUAUUAUAGGAAGCCCAAAGGAAGGAUAUCUCUCGCGUGUUGGAAAAGUGAAGCCUACUUUGCUCACCUUUCCUCCGAUUUAGCAUCCUCCAAGUGGACCCAGGGGGGCCAUCUGGUGAGCGAAAUAAUGACACCUCCUACUUCUCUCUCUCCUACUUUCUAAUAUGGGGAUUACUUCUCAAACGAAUUUGCUACAGAACCGGGGUGAAAACAAAACAAAGCAAACUCACAAACAAACAAUGGCCUCCAUCUUUCAAUCUGAUUCCAUUCCUUCGCAAACGAAAUCAUAUCGAUAGAAACGUAAACAAAUCCGUGUUUUCAAAUAUCGCCACUAGACGAUAAAUUGGCUCCCGUGGGUCCACUUAGGGCGGAGCCAAAUAAGAGGAAGGGAACCCAAAUUGGCUUCCAAAAAAAGCCCAAACCGUUGGGCUUCCUAUAAUAAAGUAGGCUAUGUUCGAACUGGAAGUCCCUACUACCGUAUCUAUCCACAGUAUCCGUACUCCGUAGUGCCCUCAUGAACUCAUUGCUGACUGCUUGUGCUUCGUUAUUAGUCGUUACUGUGUAGUGUAUAACUGUCACAUACUCACCAUUGUGAUAACAAAUCUUUACUCCUGCACUAUCAAAGAAAACUCUGUUUUUAAUUUCAACAGCGAUUUUCAAUGGCCGAACAAGCUGUUGCUUCUGAUAGGCCGACUUCUGAUAUUGCUGUCAAAACUGAAACCGAAUUUGACUUGGAGUUCGAAAUUUUUUUACUAAGUGUUUCUGAUUUGAAUCAUCUUUUGAGUCAAAAAUUAUUUACGUGUAAAGAAUAAAGAAUAUCCCUGAAGGAAUUUAUAAAAAAGCCAAUUUUGUUUUGGGAGAAUUAGCCAAUUUAGAAAAAAAUGAAGCACUAGAGGGCGCCAUAAUAACAUUUUUUAAAAAUUCAUCAGUUAAAGAAGACAAAAAAAGCCAUUCAUCGAGCAAUUACUGUAGAGGAAUCUAACAUCAGAAAAAAUACUGAAAAAAUUAUUCUAAUUGAGACCAGACGAAUCAAAUUAGACAAAGAAAUCUUGCGGCUUCAAGGUCAACGGAAGAAAAAUGAUGGUUUGAGAAAACUGAUCCAGAAACGAGAGGAUGAAAUUAAAGUUUUGAAUGUCAUAAAAGAAGAAUCUAUUGAGAUAAAAAGGAAAAUUAAAGUUGAACGAAUAUCAAAAUCAUAUGGUAAAGGAAAUGGCUAAAGAAAAACAAUAAGAGAUUCUUGGAUUGGAUAAUUUUUUGGUUGCUUCUCGCUUGAGUGGAUUCUGUUGAGACUCGUGAUGCACGUUUAUUCAACUUACACGAGUCGAGAGAGAGAAUACAAAUUAGCACGGGAGUGAGAUGGAUCUACGCUGCGACCGUCUGCUGAGCUAGUCGCGUGGAGACUGCUCGACCGUCUGCUCUGUCAGCCGAGAUGGUGGGUCGGGUGUGUGUGCCCUCUGGCGGGCGAGGUUACAACAUGUCUUUUUCUUUUCCUUUUUUUUUUUUUUUUUUUUUUA